rnacentral:rRNA from 1 species
UACGAAGGGGGCUAGCGUUGCUCGGAAUCACUGGGCGUAAAGCGCACGUAGGCGGACUCUUAAGUCGGUGGUGAAAUCCUGGAGCUCAACUCCAGAACUGCCUUCGAUACUGGGAGUCUCGAGUCCGAGAGAGGUGAGUGGAACUGCGAGUGUAGAGGUGAAAUGCGUAGAGAUCGUAAGGAGACCAGUGGCGAAGGCGAGUCUCUGGACAGUUACUGACGCUGAGGCACGAAGGCCAGGG